rnacentral:tRNA from 1 species
GGUGAGGUCAACCGAAAUCGGUAUCGGCCCCGGUUGCUAUCCGGGUUGGGGAAGUUAUAUCUCCAUAUGAGUUCGAUCCUCACCCUCACCGCCA